rnacentral:rRNA from 1 species
AGGAUUAACGCUGGCGGCGUGCAUGAAACAUGCAAGUCGAGCGCGGUGUGAUGCGGGGUAACCCAAUUCACAUCUAGCGGCGAACGGGUGAGUAACACGUGAGCAACCUACCUUUGAGUUGGGGAUAGCCCUGGGAAACCAGGAUUAAUACCCGAUGUGGUCACAACAGGACAUCCUGAUGUGAGUAAAGGCGCAAGCCGCUCAAUGACGGGCUCGCGGCCUAUUAGCUUGUUGGUGGGGUAACGGCCUACCAAGGCGAUGAUGGGUAGCUGGUCUGAGAGGACGAUCAGCCACACUGGGACUGAGACACGGCCCAGACUCCUACGGGAGGCAGCAGUUAGGAAUUUUCCGCAAUGGGCGAAAGCCUGACGGAGCAACGCCGCGUGAGUGAUGAAGACCUUAGGGUUGUAAAGCUCUGUCGGAGGGAAGAACACAAUGACGGUACCCUCAACGAAAGCCCGGCUAACUACGUGCCAGCAGCCGCGGUAA